CUAACUCAAAUUUGUAUGGAGUUGGAACGUUUGCCUACAUUUGCCGGUAGGGACACUGUUCCAUUUGAAUAAAACUUUAGUUA
rnacentral:pre_miRNA from 1 species